UCUAAAUUCAUCAAACAAAAAAAGCCUUUUAAAGUUGAAAAACAAAUCGGUUUCAAAGAGCAAUGCUGUCUGUACACACAAAAGUGAAUGUAUAUCUUACACUUUCCAUCCAACAAUCCAUUUUUUCACGCUAGUCUUAUCACACCCCUAAUUUUUCAUUACUAAAUAUCCAAAAAGAGAGCUGUCUAAACCAUUGGAUGAUUCGGCGUAAGAUGUACACCCAACUCUUGGGCGCACAAGUAGCAUUUCUCAUGUACAAAUUCUAAUCAGCUCCAAAACAGUUAAACCAAAAUCAAAUCACACAAUUUGAAUGCAU
rnacentral:lncRNA from 1 species